AUUCUGUAGCAAGGUUAACCGUAUAGGGGAGCCGUAGGGAAACCGAGUCUUAACCGGGCGUUAAGUUGCAGGGUAUAGACCCGAAACCCGGUGAUCUAGCCAUGGGCAGGUUGAAGGUUGGGUAACACUAACUGGAGGACCGAACCGACUAAUGUUGAAAAAUUAGCGGAUGACCUGUGGCUGGGGGUGAAAGGCCAAUCAAACCGGGAGAUAGCUGGUUCUCCCCGAAAGCUAUUUAGGUAGCGCCUCGUGAAUUCAUCUCCGGGGGUAGAGCACUGUUUCGGCUAGGGGGCCAUCCCGGCUUACCAACCCGAUGCAAACUGCGAAUACCGGAGAAUGUUAUCACGGGAGACACACGGCGGGUGCUAACGUCCGUCGUGAAGAGGGAAACAACCCAGACCGCCAGCUAAGGUCCCAAAGUCAUGGUUAAGUGGGAAACGAUGUGGGAAGGCCCAGACAGCCAGGAUGUUGGCUUAGAAGCAGCCAUCAUUUAAAGAAAGCGUAAUAGCUCACUGGUCGAGUCGGCCUGCGCGGAAGAUGUAACGGGGCUAAACCAU
rnacentral:rRNA from 3 species